AGCAUCUAUACUGUGAAACUGCGAAUGGCUCAUUAAAUCAGUUAUCGUUUAUUUGAUAGUACCUUACUACUUGGAUAACCGUGGUAAUUCUAGAGCUAAUACAUGCUAAAAACCCCGACUUUUGGAGGGGUGUAUUUAUUAGAUAAAAAACCAAUGCCCUUCGGGGCUCCUUGGUGAUUCAUAAUAACUUAACGAAUCGCAUGGCCUUGUGCCGGCGAUGGUUCAUUCAAAUUUCUGCCCUAUCAACUUUCGAUGGUUAGGUCUUGGCUAACCAUGGUUUCAACGGGUAACGGGGAAUUAGGGUUCUAUUCCGGAGAGUGAGCCUGAGAAACGGCUAACACAUCCAAGGAAGGCAGCAGGCGCGCAAAUUACCCAAUCCCGACACGGGGAGGUAGUGACAAUAAAUACUGAUCCAGGGCUCUUUUGGGUCUUGGAAUUGGAAUGAGUACAAUUUAAAUCCCUUAACGAGGAACAAUUGGAGGGCAAGUCUGGUGCCAGCAGCCGCGGUAAUUCCAGCUCCAAUAGCGUAUAUUAAAGUUGUUGCAGUUAAAAAGCUCGUAGUUGAACCUUGGGCCUGGCUGGCCGGUCCGCCUCACCGCGUGUACUGGUCCGGCCGGGCCUUUCCUUCUGGGGAAUCGCAUGCCCUUCACUGGGUGUGUCGAGGAUCCAGGACUUUUACUUUGAAAAAAUUAGAGUGUUCAAAGCAGGCCUAUGCUCGAAUACAUUAGCAUGGAAUAAUAGAAUAGGACGUGUGGUUCUAUUUUGUUGGUUUCUAGGACCGCCGUAAUGAUUAAUAGGGAUAGUCGGGGGCAUCAGUAUUCAAUUGUCAGAGGUGAAAUUCUUGGAUUAAUUGAAGACUAACUACUGCGAAAGCAUUUGCCAAGGAUGUUUUCAUUAAUCAGUGAACGAAAGUUAGGGGAUCGAAGACGAUCAGAUACCGUCGUAGUCUUAACCAUAAACUAUGCCGACUAGGGAUCGGGCGAUGUUACUUUUUUGACU
rnacentral:rRNA from 1 species